rnacentral:tRNA from 1 species
GCGGGAGUGGUGUAAUGGCAGCCACGCUGGAUUUAGGUUCCAGUGCCCGAAAGGGCGUGGGGGUUCGACUCCCCCCUCCCGCA